UAUCUUGGUUGAAUAUGGUUUUGGAGGAUUUUGUUUCUUUUACAUCUUCAUUCUUUCACCUACCGUGACUCAGUAGCUGACCUUUGCAGCACUCAAAUUAAACUGCCUGAUUGUAGAGCUGACUCUUUGGAAAAAUAGGUAUUGCAAUGUCUAGGAUGGUGAAGAUGCUGUUUGCAAGGAAAGAAAUGAGAACACUAACGGUGGGUACUUGAUGUUGCUGGUAAAACCACCAUCCUCUACAAGCUCAAACUUGCACAAUUAACAAUUGCAGAAUCUGUUGGUGAUUGGUUCUUUUAUCGAAAUGUGACGAAGCAUAUUGGUUGUUAGUUUCCCUGCAAUCCAGUCUGCUAUCGUCACAGUGCUGCAUAGAGUUAAUCGAACUUGAGAACAGUUCCAGCAUUUGAAGGGGGUUAUACCCUGGUGGAAAUCUUCCUUUCCUGUCCAAGACCAUGAGUUGUCUUGUGUGGUAUAACAAAUCAGCUUAUAUUUGGUAUCAUAUUUUUGCAUAGAGAAGAAUAGGGAGAAAAAGAUUAUGUUAUUAUUAUUAUUUUUUUUGGGAAUACACCUUUGCUUUCUAUUAUGUGGCAACUAAUGUAUAGCUUUCUUUAAUCUUGAAGGAUCUAUGCUUUCUAUUUGUAUAAAAUUGAUUCUAUCGAUUGGGACUCCAAGUAUAACAUAAAGGUGUGUGUUUGCAGAUCUAUUAGCAUUUUGGUGAAAAUGGAGAGCUUCAAAGCCAUUUAGAAUCAGGAAGGAAUCAUUGAAGCUUCCUAUGGAGUCAUGAUUGCUUGGGUUGAUCUUGGAGUUGAAAUCCCACUCGAACUGAUUUUUUAGUCCAAGAGGAAAUAAUCCAAGUGUGUGGGCAGCUAAACAAUCAAGUAUUUGUAGCUUCUCAACUACUUGAAUCAAUGAUUGAAUACCCAACCGCAACACAUGCUGAGAUACCACUCUCAGUUGUACUAAUGAUACUGAUAACAGGGAAAGAUUAAGAAAAUAAAUUUCCUCUAUGAUGACUUCAAAGGCAGUGCCUUGAUGAAUAAUAAUCUCCUCUGCCCAUCAGAAAAGAAGCUUUUUCCUCACCUUGGUGUUGGAUUGGACAGUCUCUCUCUCUCUCUCUCUUUCUCUCUCUCUCUCUCAGAUCUAUCGCUGGUAACAUUUGAAGGGCGUUGGACCGUGUCCCGCAAAGAUAAUUAUAAUGGUCAGUGUUUGUAUCAGUUUGAAGAUCGAUGAUUUAGAUUUGUGGUUACUAUUUCUCGUAGAUCUGCCUAAUCCAUUUCUCUUCCAAUAUCCUCUAUUUUUGAUUCGAAUCAUUAUGGGUCUCCGUCCUCAAGCCAUAACCAAAUCUAAUCCAACACUUCGAGCUCGCAGUCAAAUCAAUCAUUGAAGAAAUUAUGCGAACAAGUAAGAGGAUUGGCAACAGAGUUUUCUGGGUUCUGUGGCUGCCUAAAGAUGAAUGGAUUGGGUCACAUUUCUGAAGAUGAGGCAUCUAGCAGCACUAGUUGUAAUGGGACUCAUACUUCCCCAUGGAUUGGUGGUCUCGAUUUGGUCGUAUUGAGAAUUAAAAGGCCACUUCUUUCGUGGUGGCUGUAGUGGGUGCUUAAGGAGUGAAUAUGUGCUUUUGGUGGAGGCAUUGGCGGUUUGUGAAGCAUUAGAAAGGUGUAUAUCUUGGAAGGAUGGAAGAGGAUAAUG